GGAUGAGAAGACAAUUCCUGUGACGCCAGAGGAUGAAAGCAAGUUGUCGGCCCGGCCUCGGCUUCAGAGGGGGGGGAGCUCCGCCUCCCUGCACAACAGCCUGAUGAGGAACAGCAUCUUCCAGCUCAUGAUCCACACGCUGGACCCUUUAAGUGAAGAAUUUGCUGACUCUGAGCUUGGGACUUAUGGGAAACUAAAAUAUUAUCACUCAAUGACUGAGGAAGGUAAAUUCCGAGAGAAGGCAUCCAUCCUUCAUAAGAUCGCUAAAAAGAAAUGCCAAGUGGAGGACAGUGAGAAGGCCAACGGAGUGGCCAGCCGCUC